UGGAGCCCGGGGAGACCCCACGGCCCGGCCUUCCUGGGCCUGGGACCCGAGGGGAGCCGAGCGGGAAUUGCUUUCCUGGUUCGAUCCGCUGCCGCUGUGAGGGCCGAGCGGAAACCCGUAGACCUUUUAUGUGAAGAGAUUGCGGCCUCCUGGUCACCAGUCACCGAGAGAGGGACCCCUGGACCGCCUACGUGGUGGUGUCUGCCGCAGGCCAUAGGGAUCCAGCCCACUUAGGCAGUCCCUUGGGGACGCGGCCUUCCCUCCGGAGCGGAAAGGCGCUUCCCGCCCGCCCUGCGGUAAUCCCGGAAGCCCUCAGCCGUUAAGCUAAAAUUUCUGUUGCUUUGGCUACUGAUGGAAACCUGUUGUAAGUGGAACCUCUAAACUGUAUGACAGGUGAACCCACUUUAGGUAGCUGUGUGAUUCUGUCCACUUGUACAGACGUGCAGUGGUUUUUAAGUCUCCUAUAAUGACGUCAUUUUAAAGAGGCAUUUCCUCCACCCCGCUGACAAGAGCGCCUCUUGAGGGCCCUAAACAAUGUAAACAGCGAUGAUUUUCAUGAAUUGAGCACUGUAUACAUCUCACUAUGUUGCUCAGACUGGUCUGGAACUCCUGGCCUCAAGCAAUCCUCCCACCUUGGCCUCCCAAAAUGCUAGGAUUACAGGUGUGAGCCACUACACCCAGCCUACUUAAUUUCAAUCACCAAGCACAACUCAACCUUCAAUAAUUCCCAGCAAUCCUAUUAAAUUUUUCUGGAUUGUUCUCCCACUCUCGACAACUCUUUCACACCUUUGCAGUUUCCUCAAACUUCAGCCCUGCCCUUUCACAUCUUCUCAAAACAUGUGACUUUUAGUCACAGAGGAAUUUGAAAAUAUCAGGACCAAUGUGACUUGAGACAUGCUGAGCAAAGAAGAGGGUGUUAAGGGAUAAAGUCAGAGAAAGCAGAUCAAGGUAGGGGGCCAGUAGGGGCCUUGUAGGUCAUCUUAAGAAGUUUACAUUAUUCCAGUGGCAAUUAUUAACGAGUUUUAAGCAGAAGAGUGAAACUAUAUGAUCUGUGUUUUUAAAAAGAUAACUGACUGCUUUAUGGUGAAUGGACUACGAAAACAAAGCAAUUAUGAGGCUAUCUCAGUAGUCCAGGUAAGUAGAUAAUAGCCUGAACUAGGGUUGUGGCAGUGGAGGUGAUAAGAAGUGGUCAGAUUGAGAUAGAAUUUGAAAGAAGAGCCAAAAUAUUUGCUGGUGGCUUGACAGUGGGUUUGAUGGAGGAAACAAGGAUGCCUACUGUAUUUGGAGCUUGAGCGACUGGGUGAAUGGUGGCAUCACUCACUGAAACAUGUUAUUUGAGGUGCUCGUUAGACAUCAGGGUAGAGGUGUUGAGUAGGCAGUUCCAUAAACUAAGAUACAAGACUGAAGGUCAGGAAAAAUUAGAGCUGGAGAUACAAUUUUACCAGAGUUUACACCAGCAAUGUUUAGAAGCGGCAUAGGAUAAAGGUGAAGAGGAUAAAAGUUAUUGAAGCAGAUGGAUCUGAAUUUGCCUAUGCACCCCCCUGCCCCGUUGCUGUCUGUAACCUUAAGCAAAUUACUAAGCCUCUCUUUUAGAGGUUUACUUUGGAGGAUCAUAAUUCCUGUUCUCAUAGGAUUAUUUGUGAGUAUCAAAUGAAAUUAUGUAUUUAAAGCAUUUGACACAGUACCUGGCACAUAGCUAAGUACUCACAAAAUCAGAGCUUUUAAAAAGUGUCAUAAGUCACCUUUAUAAUCUUUUAAUCAGUUUUGUUUAUUUGUUUGUUUGUUUGUUUUGAGACGGAGUCUCACUCUGUCGCCCAGGCUGGAGCACAGUGGAGCAAUUUCGGCUCACUGCAACCUCUGCCUCCCGGGUUCAGGCAAUUCUCCUACCUCAACCUCCUGAGUAGCUGGGACUACAGGCACGCACCACCAUGCCUGGCUAAUUUUUGUAUUUUUAGUAGAGACGGGUUUUACCAUGUUGGCAGGCUGGUCUCGACCUCCUGACCUCAUGAUCCUCCCACCUCGGCCACCCAAAGUGCUGGGAUUAUAGUCGUGAGCCACCACACCCAGCCUAAUCAGUUUUAUUUUAAUUAUGCUUAUAUGUACACAGCCUGUGUCAUCCCCAUUUUCUAGGGAAGAAAAUUGGUCUGAUUUUUUUCUCAGAAACCUUUUCCAUGAUCUCAUGACUUCAUUUUUUAUUAAUAUCAUGAAAAGUAUUACAGUGCUUCUGAAUUUCUGGGUCUCCUAUCCAUGGAUAAACCAUUAUAACCAUGGUUUGAUGGUUAAUUAGCUUUCAUUCUAUACAUAUUUUUAUAGAAUUAAUUAGUUAACAUUCGUUCUAUACAUAUUUUGGAAACCAUCUUAGAUUCAGGUUAGGUUAUGGUGCUAUUUAAGGAAAACCAGUAGAACAACUUCUCUCUGGCCCCACAUUGGCCAAGGGAUGACCCACAUACAUUAUUUUGUAUUGUUUUUUAAUGACUUGUUCUUAAAGGUAUUGCCUGUGUUAUUGUUUUCCCAGCGAUGGUGAUUACUAGCUAGAAGCACAGUAGUCUCUAAACAACAACAGGAAAAGGUUCUUGAAAAAGAAAAUACACAAAUUAAUACCUUUUUGGUGCCGAGAUAAUCAUUGUUGGUAAUUUGGCACUCCCAUUGUCCCCAAGUCCUAGUAAGGUAAAAAAAUAUUCGUAUACAUUUAUAAAAUAUCUACUCAUGGGACAAAAUUCCAUAAAUAUUUAUAUGCUAACCAAAUGAUUAUGUACUGAAUACCAACAGGAAGACUAUGCAGGUGCUUUUCAGAUAAAUAUAAAUUACAGUAGCACUGGAAUUUUUCUAAGGGCAGAUAAUAGAAGUGUAAGCUAUGGAAAAGCCAACUGUACCAACUGUUCCAGUUGGCUCAGGACAGGGGUUUCCUGGGACAUGGAGUUUUCAGUACCCAAACUGGGAAGUCCCAGGCAAGCUGGGAUGGUUUGGUCACCCUACAGGGCAUCUGACCAAAAAUUCUUAUAUGUAAGCAAUUGUCUCUAAAAUCAAGUGAGAAGAAAUUGCUUUUUGUCAUUUUGUUUAUAAAAUCAGUUUUAAUGCAGCACUUUUUGUUUUUGUUUGUUUUGUUUUGUCUUUUUUUGGUGGGGGGGGGGUGGAAACAAAGUCUCACUCUAUUGCCCAAGCUGGAGUGCACUGGCAUGAUCUCGGCCCACUGCAACCUCUGCCUCCCAGUUCAAGUGAUUCUUCUGUCUGAGCCUUCCGCAUAGCUGGGAUUACAGGCAUGCGCCACUACGCCCGGCCAAUUUUUUGUAUUCUUAGUAGAGAUGGGGUUUCACCAUGUUGGCCAGGCUGUUCUCGAACUCCUGACCUCAAGUGAUCCACUUGCCUUGGCCUCCCGAAGUGCUGGGAUUACAGGCGUGAGCCACUGCGCCUGGCCUGUUUUUCUAUUGUUUCGUUUGUUUGUUCGUUUUGAGACGGAGUCUCGCUCUGUCGCCCAGACUGGAGUGCAGUGGUGCAAUCUCGGCUCACUGCAACCUCCACCUCCUGGGUUCAAGUGAUUCUCCUGCUUCAGCCUCCCAAGUAGCUGGGACUACAGGUGCGUGCCACCACGCCCAGCUAAUUUUUUGUAUUUUUAGUAGAGACAGAGUUUCACCAUGUAGCCAGGAUGGUCUAAAUCUCCUGACCUUGUGAUCCGCCCGCCUCAGCCUCCCAAAGUGCUGAGAUUACAGGCGUGAGCCACCACACCUGGCCUGUUUUUUGUUUUUUAAUGUUUUAGGUGUUCCUGUGUUUUACCAGGAAGGAGGUAAAGAAAUUAAAUUUUUAUCAAAGCACAAAAAGAGACACUGAUAAGCUGAGUACUUUGCAUUUCUGUAAAAACAUCUAUGUAUUUCAAAUUUUGCUAUAGAUACCAAUGAAGUAUUACAGCAUUAUUGAGAGAUCAUAUCACACCAGUUCUAAGUGUUAAUAAUAAUAAUAAGGUAUAGAGAAACUGAAGUUACCUGCCACAUUAGACGUCUGGUAGAGAUAGUGACAACCAAAAGUAGAACCCAAGAUUCUUAACUGCAGCCAUUUCUUUACGAUCUCCCCAUCCUGGUACAGUGACUCAUGCCUGUAAUCCCAGCACUUUGGAAGACCAAGGUGGGACAAUUACGUGAGGCUAGGAGUUUUAGACCAGCUUGGGCAACAUAGUGACACCCUGCCUCUACAAAAGAAUAAAAAAUAAGCAAAUUAGCGAGGGCUGAGUGCAGUGGCUCAUGCCUGUAAUCCUAGCACUAUGGGAGGCCAAGAUGGGAGAAUCACUUGAGCGUAGGAGUUCAAGGCCAACCUGGGCAACAUAGCAAGACCCUAUCUCAAAAAAAAAAAAAAGAAAAAAUGAGCCAAGCAUGGUGGUGCAUGCAUGUACUCCCAGCUACUCAGGAGGCUAAGGUAGGAGGAUCCAUUGAUCCUCCAGGAAUUUGAGGCUGCAGUGAGCUAUGAUCAUGCCACUGUACUCCAGCCUGGGUGACAGAGCAAGGCCCUGUUUCAAAAAAUAAUAAUAAAAAUAAAAGAUAUUCGCUACCUCACCUUUAUUCUAGAAAUACAGUUGUCCCUUGAUAUCUGCAGGAGAUUGGUUCCAGUACCCCAACAGAUAAGAAAAUCCAUGGUUGCUCAAGUUCCUUAUAUAAAAUGGCAUGCUAUUUGCAUAUAACCUACGUACAUCCUCUCAAGCACUUUAAAUCAUCUCUAGAUUACUUGUAACCCCUAGUGCAAUGUAAAUGCUUUGUAAAUGGUGGUUAUAUUGUAUUGUUACAUUUGAUUUUUUUAAUUGCCGUAUUCUUACUUUUUAUGUUUUUUUUUUUUUUUAAUAUUUUCACUCCAUGGUUGGUUGAAUCUGUGGAUGUGGAAACUGCAGAUACAAAGGGGCCUAUUGUACAGGGUCUAUAGACUUUAUUAUUGAGCCUGAGCUUUUAUACAAGUAAUUAUCUAAUGUGUGAUAAGAUAAUGCUGGAACUAGAGGGCAGGCACAGUGGCUCAUGCCUGUAAUCCUAGCACUUUGGGUGGCCAAAGCGGGCAGACCACUUGAGGUCAGGAGUUUGAAACCAGCCUGGCCAAAAUGGUGAAACCCCGUCUCUACUAAAAAUACCAAAAAAUUAGUCGGGCGUGGUGGUAGACACCUGUAAUCCCAGCUACUCGGGAGGCUGAGGCAGGAGAAUUGCUUGAACCCAGGAGGCAGAGGUUGCAGUGAGCCGAGAUCAUGCCACUGCACUCCAGCCUGGGCGACAGAGCAAGACUCCAUCUCAAAAAAGAAAAAAAAAAGAUAAUGCUGAAACUAGAGUAUAUACUAUCAUACAAUUGGACAAAUGUACAAAACCAUAGUGUCUAUGUGCCCCAUGAUUGCAAUAUACAUUUAUUUGGCCUUAAAUGUGUGCUUACACUACAACAAAAAGUAACAUAUGAUGACCUUCCAAAAAGUGAACGUAUAUUUAUCGUAAUGACUUAAGGACUUGAAGGAAAAGUAUUUUUGUAGCUAAAGUUUGCAAAACAAACAUUUCUCUGUAGUUCACAAUAUCUCUAGUUUAUUUUGUUGCUUUAUGGAUGUAUUUAAAUGGAUGAAUGGGCAAAAAGUGAGCAAAUAUAUUAUUGAGUCUAUACUAGAUGCCACACUAGAUG
rnacentral:lncRNA from 1 species